AGCGUUGUUAGGAGGGGGAGACACCAGAGCACCAACUUCUCUCACUUAAACCUUAUGACAACCUUAAGAAGUAGGCAGCAUGAUCCCCUUCUUGGAAAUGCAGAAAGAGAGAAUGGGGGAGAUUGAGAGGCUUGCAGAAUGUGACAUCAUUAGGGAGAACAGUGGUUGAGGUCCAGCAGCUCCUGCAGAUGGGUGGUGGUGGAAGGAGGAGAGAAUGGGCCACAGGCAGGCCAAGGGCAAGCUUAGCAGCACUCAACAUCCUCCAUGAACUCAACAGAAGUCAAGAAUGCAGGCAGCUCAUGAUGAAGACCUGCAGCGGCCCAGGUUUACCAAGCUCAUUCACAAUUGCAGUUGGAGAAUUCGUCUUUGGUCAUUUUCUACUUUGGAAAUACGGAAAAAAACAGUUCACAUGCUUUAAAAAAGUCAUCCAAGCAGAAAAUUGGGAAGAGCAGCAGCUGUGAGAAGAGAUGUGUGCAGGGGUUACAAAUGAUUUCUCAUUAACUCCAGACGCUCUUGUUCCUGGUCACCACAGCCCCAUCUGAGAGGCAGAUGUGACAGCGCUGGCAGUGACAAUGACAGAGGAAGAGAUGGGAGGGAGAAACGGUUAGCUUAUUUGUUUUAAAAGAAGCUGCUCAAAUGUUUUGAGUUCUUCCAUGCCUCGUGAGUCACAAACCCACAGAAUGGGCAGGGCUUGGCUUGAAAUUGAGGACGGCCUGCCUCUGCCAUUUCCUGAGCGGGUGAUCUUAGGCAAGUCACUUGGACUCUCUAAUGCUCAUUUUCUCACUAAUAAAAUGAUGAUGAUAA
ensembl:lncRNA novel transcript